AAAAACAGGAGAAACUAGAAAAGGCAGAGGAAGGACACACACAGAUUGAUCAAGAACAAGAGACUGAAUUAAAAGGUUUACCCAAUGGCCUCAACGCUGGUGAUGCCACCUCACUAGAGAAGAAAACCCUGACGAUCCAGACGCCAUUUUGGUUCCCGAACCCCCGAUGACUAAUGGCAUGGGCAACGGAAUGGGCAACGGAGCUGUGCCAGAUUACGACAGAGCAAUAAUGGUCGAGAUGACUGUAAAUGACGAAGGCGAGGGUAACUCUGAUAAAUGGCUGGUUAAGAAGGGAUCUAAGGAAUAAGACUCCGUCUAAGACACGACAGAGGUUCAAACUAUCUGCUCUCCGUUACAGGUGGUAUCCGCCUGCUUUGCCGCUUUCUCACACGGAGGAAAUGAUGUCAGCAACGUCAUUGGUCCCCUGAUCAGUAUCUGGACCAUCUUUACCACCGGUUCUGUAGACCAGGAGACCCUUACCCCUAUCUGGAUCCUACUCUACGGAGGUGCAGGCAUCUCACUGAGUCUCUUCCUAUUCGGCCGUCGCGUUAUCAAGACAAUCGGAGAAGAUCUCACCCCAAUGACCCCGUCCAGUGGAUUCUGUGUCGAGCUUGGGUCUGCCUCCACGGUACUCUUAGCAUCCAACCUAGGCAUCCCUAUCUCCACCACCCAUUGUCAAGUUGGCUCCGUCUGUGGCGUGGGCUGGCUGAGGACGCGUAAGGCCGUUGACUGGCCUCUGUUCUCAGGGAUCUUCUUUGCCUGGGUGGUGACCCUUCCGGCUACCAUGAUGCUUAGUUCAGGUCUCAUGGGAUUCCUGCAAAACGUCGUUCCCGGGGGCUGUGAACUGGUUCCCAUCCCACUGGACAUAAACUCAACCGCAAUUGCAACUACUCUGGGAUUGGUGUAAAGAAACGCAUACUUUUUGCUGAUUGUAGAUAUGGUUGGAAGGACCAACCCAACAAUGCACGGUGUCUCACUGGUGGAGCAAUGGUCUCGUAACUGCAAGGCCACGGGUCCGAAAACAAUUUGGUGCCGUUGCGUCUUUUGCUAAUAAAUGCAUGGAUCUUCAACUGCCAAGUCCCUAGAAGAGGAUUCAAAGUUACAAGUCCCCUGAAUUCCGUUCUACAAUCAUCGGUUAAAUCAAAUCAUCCUCAAAUACAUUGAUAGAUCAGACCAGAUCACUCCCUCAAUGUAAACGCCAGAAUCAAUAAAUGCCCUUUGUAUUGGAACUUAUAGAUACACAGAAAUCUUUAAAAGCAACAUACUAAAGACUGGUGAUGUGCAGUUGAGGAAUUGCUGUUUAAUCUCCUAGCAUUGACAU